UACGUAGGGUGCAAGCGUUAAUCGGAAUUACUGGGCGUAAAGCGUGCGCAGGCGGUUGUGCAAGCCAGAUGUGAAAUCCCCGGGCUCAACCUGGGAACUGCAUUUGUGACUGCACGGCUAGAGUGUGUCAGAGGGGGGUAGAAUUCCACGUGUAGCAGUGAAAUGCGUAGAUAUGUAGAGGAAUACCGAUGGCGAAGGCAGCCCCCUGGGAUAACACUGACGCUCAUGCACGAAAGCGUGGGGAGCAAACAGG
rnacentral:rRNA from 1 species